CCCCUUUUAAGAUCACAUCUGAAGAGUUUCCAGUACUCUACCAGUCUUGGCGAUGGGAGGAAGAGUCAAGCAGAGGCAUACCCAUUCCAUUUCUAGCUUGGGCAGUGGCUAGUGAGUGGAAGGCAAUCUUCUACAACU